rnacentral:rRNA from 1 species
AGUCUGGUGCCAGCAGCCGCGGUAAUCCCAGCUCUGAAGGUGUAUACCACCGUUGUUGCGGUUAAAACGCUCGUAGUUGGAUCUACGUUCGUGGGGUCGGUGUUCUCUUAUGAGUUCUACUGACUACCUGAACUGAAACAGCUGGUUUUCCCUUGGUGCUCUUUAUUGGGUGCCCUGGGUGGCUAGCAAGUUUACUUUGAAAAAAUUAGAGUGCUCAAAACAGGCGCAUGCCUGAAUAGUGGUGCAUGGAAUAAUGGAAUAGGAUCUUGGUCCUAUUUUGUUGGUUUUCGGGAGCCAAGAUAAUGAUUAAGAGGGACAGACGGGGGCAUUCGUAUUGCAGCGUUAGAGGUGAAAUUCUUGGAUCGUUGCAAGACGAACAACUGCGAAAGCAUUUGCCAAGAAUGUUUUCAUUAAUCAAGAACGAAAGUUAGAGGUUCGAAGGCGAUCAGAUACCGCCCUAGUUCUAACCGUAAACGAUGCCAACUCGCGAUCUAGUGGUGUUAUUUAUGACCCGCUAGGGAGCGUCCCGGAAACGAAAGUUUUUCGGUUCCGGGGGAAGUAUGGUUGCAAAUCUGAAACUUAAAGGAAUUGACGGAAGGGCACCACCAGGAGUGGAGCCUGCGGCUUAAUUUGACCCAACACGGGAAAACUCACCCGGCCCGGACACCGUAAGGAUUGACAGAUUGAGAGCUCUUUCUUGAUUCGGUGGGUGGUGGUGCAUGGCCGUUCUUAGUUGGUGGAGCGAUUUGUCUGGUUAAUUCCGAUAACGAACGAGACUCUAUCCUACUAAAUAGCAAGUGGAUCAGCCCAGUCCGCAGUGCUUCUUAGAGGGACAAGCAGCUUUUAGCUGCACGAAAGUGAGCAAUAACAGGUCUGUGAUGCCCUUAGAUGUCCGGGGCUGCACGCGCGCUACACUGAAAGGAUCAGCGUGCAAGAUACCUUCCCCGAGAGGGGUGGGUAACCCAAUCAAAACCUUUCGUGAUUGGGAUAGGAGAUUGCAAUUAUUCUCCUUGAACGAGGAAUUCCCGGUAAGUGUGGGUCAUCAGCUCGCGCUGAUUACGUCCCUGCCCUUUGUACACACCGCCCGUCGCUGCCCGGAACUGAGCCGUUUCGAGAAGAACAGGGACUGCUGUUUGGUGGCCUUCGGGUUGCCUCUUGGCGGAAACUGUUUU